AUGGAUGAGUCGAUUGGGAGUAUCAGAGGGGGACAUGCAACUAAAACAAGUGAGAUAGCGGUAGAGUGCAUGAACUUGGACCCAGAGAAGAGACCAGAUGCAUGCCAUAUAAUUGAUAGGCUUGAUAAAAUUGAGGGUACUGACAAAGAAGACGAAACUGGCACCAACAGUUCAAUCAUUGAGUUGCAGUUAAGUUUACCAAGGGAACAAUAUGCAGAAAGAGUUGGAAAGCCUGCAGCCGAGAGCCUCCAAGUGGAUGUCGGGGAACACUCUGAAAUAUUGGAAAAUGGCACAGACAGUUUGGAAUUGCGACAUUCCCAGGAAGGCCUGCAGAAAUUAGACGAAUUGUCAAUAUGUGGAGUGCAAGAGACGAAGCAAAAGGUUAAGCAUCGUGGCACAAGCAUUUCCAGCUCUAUCUCUAGUGUAUUCUACAAGUUAAACAGUUUAAACAUCUUCAACAAGAAAGCAAGCAGGAACCUCCAUCACACAUUAGAAAAGUCGCAUAAUGUGAAGAUCUUCAGAAAGGAGGAGCUCAGACCAAUAAUGAGGAGUACCAAUUUAAUUGGAAGAGGUGGCUUCGGUAAAGUUUACAAGGGUGUUGUUGAUAACACACUGGUUGUGGUAAAGCCGAUUAGUUGUUCUUCCCUAGGUAAUGUAGCAUAUGAAAAUUAUGUCAUUGGCAUGUGUCAAGUCAGCCACAAGAACAUCGCUAGGCCCAUAGGCUGUUGCUUAGAAGCAGAUACCACCAUUCUAGUGUACGAGCUCAUCUCCAAUGGAAGUGUAGAUGGUAUUCUUCACGACGGCAACAGAACAGCCCUCAACUUGGAUGUGCGUCUAAAUAUCAUUGCGGAAUCAGCACAAGGUUUAGCUUAUCUACAUUCACAAGCUCAUACAAAAAUCCUGCAUGGUGAUUUAAAACCGGAAAAUAUCCUCUUGGAUGAUAACUUUAUACCAAAGAUCUCAGACUUUGGUAUAUCGCCGUUGAUUGCACGAUAUAAUGAACACACUACCAAUAUCAUCGGUGACAUGACUUAUAUGGAUCCAGUGUACCUGCAAACAGGCCGGCUGACUGAGAAAAGUGAUGUCUACAGUUUUGGAGUUGUGAUCUUGGAGGUCAUCAGCAGGAAGAAGGCCACUCAUUCUGAACAUAACAGCCUAGUGAAGAGUUUCCUUGAGGUUCACAAAGAAGGGAAGAAAGCAACCGAGCUGUUUGAUAAGGAAAUUGCGGUGACAGCAGGAGAUUUUGAAAUUCUUGACCGUCUGGCAGAGAUUGCUGUGGAAUGUAUUAACCUUGACGUCGAUCAAAGGCCCACGAUGACAGAUGUCGAGGACCGCCUUCUCAUGCUGAACCGAUCUUCUUAA
rnacentral:rRNA from 1 species